rnacentral:rRNA from 1 species
GACAGAGGGUGCAAACGUUGUUCGGAAUUACUGGGCGUAAAGCGUGUGUAGGCGGCCAUGCAAGUCGGAUGUGAAAGCCCUGGGCUCAACCCAGGAAGUGCACUCGAAACUGCGUGGCUUGAGUACUGGAGAGGUUGGUGGAAUUCUCGGUGUAGAGGUGAAAUUCGUAGAUAUUCGGAAGAACACCAGUGGCGAAGGCGACUUACUGGACACAUAUUGACGCUGAGGUGCGAAAGCGUGGGGAGCAAACAGG